CCUAUUUGUUGCCUCGGCGGUGCCUGUUCCGACAGCCCCCAAACCCUGAUUACAUUUAAGAAGUCUUCUGAGUAAACCGAUUAAAUAAAUCAAAACUUUCAACAACGGAUCUCUUGGUUCUGGCAUCGAUGAAGAACGCAGCGAAAUGCGAUAAGUAAUGUGAAUUGCAGAAUUCAGUGAAUCAUCGAAUCUUUGAACGCACAUUGCGCCCGCUAGUAUUCUGGCGGGCAUGCCUGUCCGAGCGUCAUUUCAACCCUCAAGCCCCCGGGCUUGGUGUUGGGGAUCGGCGAGCCUCCGCGCCCGCCGUCCCCUAAAUCUAGUGGCGGCUCGCUGUAGCUUCCUCUGCGUAGUAGCACACCUCGCACUGGGAAACAGCGCGGCCACGCCGUUAAACCCCCAACUUCUGAACGUUUGACCUCGGAUCAGGUAGGAAUACCCGCUGAACUUAAGCAUAUCAAUAAGCGGAGGAA
rnacentral:rRNA from 1 species